CACUGCAGUUGAAGGAAGCCAGGGCCAGAGGGCUGAGUUCCUCCAGAAAGGGCUGGGACUGGUGGCUUGAAGUGGAGCAGACUGACUGAGGAAGAGCUCUGGGUGUGGCAGAAGAACCAGAGUCUUGCCCCGGUCCCCAAGAAAUGGAAUGGAUGAGUCUCGGAGGUGUUUUCUGUCUCUAAGAAGCUCUUAUAUGAACGUGGAUUGAAACACACACUCCAAGUCAUGGCUUUUGUCCCGAAACCAUGGCCGUGCCAAACCACUGUCCUACUUCUGUGGUUUGUGAGUAAGAGAUGAUUCCCACUGACCCAUGCUUAAGAGAUGAGCUGUUCUGUAUGCUUGGCGUCCUGCAUUCCACUCUGGAGUAUGGCCUGGCUUAUGUUGGGUUUCACUUUUCCAUAAGCAUUCAUCAGAAAUCAGCUGAACGUGGGUGGUGAUGAUUGUCACUCCAAGCAGGUGUGGUGGCUGAACAUUGGGAUACUAGGCAUGCUGCAGACCUCUGCUCUGUGUUGGCCCUGGAGUAUUGCUGGAGCAUCCCCCCUUCAUGCUCACCGAGGUGACUACCCAGGAGGCAUCGGGGCAACGCCCAUUGGGAAAACUCUGCAGCCACUGAGUCUCCUUGAAAUUCAAGAAGUUCAGUUCAUAUGUAAUAAAGAGGUUCCCUACAAAUUGGAGCGAGUUAACCAUCUCCAUUCUCCCCACGCAUCUGGGCAGGUAGGUGCUCUUCUUCCCCUGACCUUGUGUACCUUCUCCUCCUUUGAAUAACCUCUUAAACAUUUUAAUGGGUGUAGCUUCCACAGCGACACAUUCUGGUGGCAGUGGGUACAUGGUGGCUUGAAAUGGGAUAUACGUGCCUAGCUGGACAGUGAAAGGGUUAAACUUCUUCACCAGGGCAUGGGGGAGGAACCUGCCACGUCCCAUGAAGACUGCCUGAGCUUCCAGGCACUGAAGGGAGGGGCCUUCAGCUUGGGCUAAUUAAGAGGCAGCCAUAAAGAGGGUGGAGGCACUUUCUCCUCCAUGAUCAGGGGAUUUACAAUGACCUGUCCUGAAGCCAAGGGAAGAAGUCUAGUGUUUGUUUACUCUUGUCGGUGAGGUGAGAAAGGGGAGCUUAAACGGCCCUGCCAAGGGGAAGCCAUCCUGGAAAUCUGACCCUGGCAAGAAGAAGCUUGUUUAUUUGCUCCCCUGAGGCAAGGGAACCAUCUGAUUACCACCCUGAGGACUUUGGUUUGCCUUUCCCUCAGAGGACACAGGAGACUCCUUAGUGCAUGGCCCUCCUUGGAGACCAGGGACAACUGUUUAUUUGCCAGUUGUUCUCCACAGGCGACACUGUAUUUCUUAACCUCUUCCUGAGGAUCCCUUAAUAAUAACACUUGUUUACCAGCUGCUAUGGAUCUGUACUCCUUGCUGGCUGGAAACAGGGCCCACUGUGCACAUGAGGCAGAACUGACCGUGCCCUCUCAUGGCUAAAUAAAACCCAGUAGGCCAACCGAGGCCCUGAUUCACUGCUGUCCGGCACCUCGUGGCAUCAUGUGAGCCAGUACAAAGCAGGUGUGCUACGCUCCCUUUCUUGUUUUCCACCCACUCUGCGCUGCUCUACGUUGCAACACAAGCUGCAGAGCAGUGGUGGCUCAAGCCUAGGGUCUUGAGGACUCAGAGGGAGUUUUUGUAUUUCCAUUUGGGAAGGCCACUGAAUUCCGUCUUUCAGGCUUUCCUUCCACGUUCUCCAGGCUGGUUCCUAACACCCCAGAAACCUCCCUCCCGGGGCUGGGAUUUUCACCUCCAAAGCCUGAUUUGCACGCUGGCCUCCACUUGCACAGACACAAACAACUGACCAUGUCCUGUUUGAGCACUGGCACUGGUGUGCAGGAUUAAUGGAUUCCAGCAUCUGCACACAGAAGGGAGAGAAUAUGCAGAACCACCCCCAAAGCCCACUGUUUGACAUUAGAAUGGGUGCACAACUUUAUAUGUGAAAACACCUAUGCACACACUUUUCAAGUACUGACCCUGGCAAUCAUCGAUGAUUAGCAGGUGCACGGUCAGUGCUUCUGCACAAACAAGGUGUGUACAAUUCUUUGAACAGCCAAAACUGUGCAUGUGCAACAGGGGAAUGCUUUUCUAAGUCAUCCUCUCUUCGUCCCUGGUGAGAGGUCACUGGUCUUCUGGGACUGCUAGCCCUGGCUCUGAUAUCAGUUACUGUUUUUACAGCAAGAGAUUUUCCCCCUGCUUGUGCCUCCAGAGUAAAGCAGGUCACAUUACUCCAUCCUGUCCUCAAUCCCCUUAUGGGCUGAGUUAAUCCCAAAGGGUUGGGUGGUUCUUUGCGGUUGUUUAGUAGAAGUGUAUUGAAUGCACUGAUAGCAGAGGAGUUAGUGAGAAGCCAUUUUGUCCUUACCAGCUGGGAAAUGCAUUCCCUAGUCAUCCUCCACUGACCAAUGGAAUUCCACGUGCCAAGGGACUCGCCAAUUCCACGAAGCUCAGCUAUGUCCCUCAGAACUCUAUCGUGUUCCAAAUGAGAACUGCUGAGUCACUCGGUCUCUCAAACACAGGGGUCAGGUUGGAGCAAGGAUGGGGAGAAAAAAAGCAGAGGUCCUCCUCCAAGCUUCACCCACAAAAUGGGCUCUGCCCAGGGGACUCACCGGAAAGGAGGUGCUAUUUCCAAUAGACGGGAGAUGUUCAAAAUACAUUGGCAUGUGCCCCUUAAAUCCAUUAGGCUCCUUGGCCUUCGCCCUGAGGAGGUCUUGAAUAUGCCCAUGGGAUCUGCUAGACUCCUUGAUUCCUUCUUGAUUUAGGACAGAAACCAAUAACGGUAUCUCAAAAAAUGCCACACAUUUGUGACGCCAAAAUGAGAGGUCAUUCACAGUCAAUUCUGUGGAUCUACUCCCUCUCUUCUCUUAUACAAGAGGAAAGAAAUCGUUAACGAUGUUGACAUUUAAAUGAUCGUGACUGAGCAUUUGAGUUUAACCUCAUGGUGAGAUGAAUGGGGCAGUUCACACCUCACAGAGUUAUUAUUCCAGGCUCUCUGCAGAUUCAUUCAGCUCUGCAUCACUUAACUUGGUUCACAUUUUUUCAGAUUUCCUUCACAGCCAUAUUGGUCUCCAGUUUUUCCCCUCGGAUCUGCUCUGCACAGGGCCGGCUCUAGGUUUUUUGCCACCGCAAGCAAAAAAAAUGUUGGCUGCCCCCCCCCCCCGC